ACCAACACUAGAAAAAAAACACAUAAUAAAACAAAACAAAACAAAACUAGGGAGGUUAAGGUGGGCAUGUCCUUGUUUUCCUGCCAUCUCUCUUCUCUCUUUCUUCCUCUUUUAUCAUAAUGUAAUCAUUUUUUUCUCUGAAUUCUAUAGGGUUUGUUGGUUGUUCUUUAAUGAAUCUCUGGCAUUCCCAUGUGAUUAAAUAAAUAGGAAGAGAAGGGGAAUUCAAGAAGCUUAAUUUUUUAUGUCUUUCAUGGGCAUUUCCUUGAUUUCUUGACUCAUUUCUGAAGAGUUUCCAAAUUCCUUUCUUGGAGGGCUUUUUGAUUCUUGAAGGUUCUCAGGAUGGAGGAGAUACAGAAGCCUGACAGUCAUAUCACAUCAGCUGCAGCUUUUGUUGAAGGGGGGAUCCAGGAUGCCUGUGAUGAUACUUGUAGCAUAUGCCUCGAGGAGUUUUCUGAUAGCGAUCCUUCAACAGUAACUAAUUGCAAGCAUGAGUUUCACCUCCAAUGCAUUCUUGAAUGGUCCCAGAGGAGCUCUCAAUGUCCCAUGUGCUGGCAAGCCAUUAGCUUGAAGGACCCUGCAAGUCAAGAAUUGCUUGAAGCAGUAGAAAGAGAAAGGAGCUUUAAAGUUACUCCAUCAGGAAAUACCACCAUAUUUCACCAUCCUUCCCUUGGUGAUUUUGAAUUGCAACAUUUACCAGUUGGUGUAAAUGACCCUGAACUUGAAGAGCGUAUAAUUCAGCACCUGGCUGCUGCUGCGGCAAUGGGAAGGGCCCACCAUGCUGGUAGGAGGGAGGGCCAGAGAAGAUCAUCUGCUCAUAGUCGUCCACACUUCUUGGUGUUUUCUACUCAUCCUGGUGCACAGCAUUCUGGUUCUGUAUCGUCACCUCUGACGCAGAUAGCAGGGGAAACUGAAGCAGCUGCAAUAACUGUAGCUAGUCCAUCUACUUCACUAUUGACUAGAGGAGAUGAGUUAUCCCACCAGAUGUCACCACUUUCUUCUAGUCAAAAUACACCAGCCUCUGGAUCUACUGUUUUGCCAGUGAAUAGGCGAGGAUUUUCCUUUAAUAAUCGAAGCACUUUUAGUAAUUCCUCAUUGCCAAAUCAAGAGAGAGCUGGACCAUCAGAGUUUCAGUCUUUUUCAGAAUCGCUGAAAUCCAGACUUAAUGCAGUGUCCUUGAGAUAUAAGGAGUCAAUUUCAAAGAGUACCAGAGGCUGGAAGGAGAGGUGGUUCUCCCGUAACUCUUCUAUGUCUGAUAUUGGGAAUGAAGUUCGUAGAGAAGUGAGUGCAGGAAUUGCUAGUGUAUCUCGUAUGAUGGAGCGUCUUGAAACCAGGGAAAAUAUUAGAGAAAACCAAGCUUCUGUGUCACAUCAUUUGGCUCAAUCGUCUGUUACAGAGCAAACCAACCAGCAUAAUACAGGGACUCGUGGAGAUAACCCUUCAAAUAUUAGCCCUUCACCAGCUUCGCAUACUGCAAGUUCUCUUUCUAAUUAAGUUAUGAAAAAUUAUUACAGCAAAUUGCAUCUAUCCUCGCAUUUCAUCUUUGUAGGUUGCCUAUCUUGUUUCUCCAGAAAUGACAUGCUGAGGAAAAGAUGCUUUGUGAAUGGACAGAGACAGGUCAUGGUGAUUUUGGUCUGAAUCUGAAUAAAAUGAGAGGAAGUCUGAGAAAAAAACUUCCAUCUGGACUGAGACUUUUAUGUGGGUAUAUGUGUGUAAAUUCGUUUAUAUAUAACCCGAUUUAGUGCGCGAUAUUGUAUUAAUUACGUCCGGAUGGCUGAUUUGACACUGUCUGAAUGUUAAUGACUCUUGUGGAUGAACUGGUGAGACUAGAUGGAAUCUAAAACAUCCUUAAUAGAUAUUGCAAUUUGCUAAAAAGUUUGUCUUGUCCUUAUGGCCGUUAACAUCAAUGGACUUUAGAGAACUAGAGAAGCAAAAUUAGUGAAGAUAUUCAACUUGACUAGACUUUUCCCCUGCCAAUGUCCAUAGGGACAAAAGAGCUAUGCUUAAGUGUAGUUCUCUGCAAACUUAUGUGGAAACUCAACUUGGUUUCGAAGUUAGGAGCGGAGAUCCUGUUUCUCCAAGUUUCUGUGUGAUCGGCAGGUUUGAACUUUGCCAUAUUUUGAAUUCCAGGAUUUGUAGCCAUCAAAUGAAGGCCCAUUAACGACAGAAAUGAUUGAUCCUAUUUACUAGAAUUUAUUUGAAAAGGAUAAUUUAGGUUGACUGUUUGAGAAUUA